rnacentral:rRNA from 1 species
UACAGAGGGUGCGAGCGUUGUCCGGAAUCACUGGGCGUAAAGGGCGCGUAGGCGGCUCAGUAAGUCGGGUGUGAAACCUCCAGGCUCAACCUGGAGACGCCACCUGAUACUGCUGUGGCUAGAGUCCGGUAGGGGAGCGUGGAAUUCCUGGUGUAGCGGUGAAAUGCGCAGAUAUCAGGAGGAACACCAGCGGCGAAGGCGGCGCUCUGGGCCGGAACUGACGCUGAGGAGCGAAAGCGUGGGUAGCAAACAGG